rnacentral:rRNA from 1 species
GAUGAACGCUGGCGGCGUGCCUAAUACAUGCAAGUCGAGCGAACAGACGAGGAGCUUGCUCCUCUGACGUUAGCGGCGGACGGGUGAGUAACACGUGGAUAACCUACCUAUAAGACUGGGAUAACUUCGGGAAACCGGAGCUAAUACCGGAUAAUAUAUUGAACCGCAUGGUUCAAUAGUUAAAGACGGUUUUGCUGUCACUUAUAGAUGGAUCCGCGCCGCAUUAGCUAGUUGGUAAGGUAACGGCUUACCAAGGCAACGAUGCGUAGCCGACCUGAGAGGGUGAACGGCCACACUGGAACUGAGACACGGUCCAGACUCCGACGGGAGGCAGCAGUAGGGAAGCUUCCGAAAUGGGCGAAAGCCUGAAGGAGCAACGCCGCGUGAGUGAUGAAGGUCUUCGGAUCGUAAAACUCUGUUAUUAGGGAAGAACAAAUGUGUAAGUAACUAUGCACGUCUUGACGGUACCUAAUCAGAAAGCCACGGCUAACUACGUG